CACACACAAGCAGAGAGAGAGAGAGAGAGAGAGAGAGUGCUUUCAGUAGCCAGGAUCAGUCAAUGCUUAAAUUCCUACCUCAAUAUUUACCACUGGGAGAGGUUAGCCAUUGUCAAAUGAUGCAGUUGGCAGUGCCUUGGUUCCUGAGGUACUGAUGGCAUCUGUACUGGGUUACUGAGCCAGUGAGAUCUGGACUUUAACCUCCUUGUGUCAGUUACAGUGGUUCAUCAUGACCUGGGAAGCCCCUCAAGGUUCUGAUCUGAGGAUCUUUCCCUUACCUGUAAAGUAGAAGGAAUUGUUGCUAUUUCAGCAGGUCAUUCUGAGGAUUAAAGAGCCACCUUGUCUGAGUUAGGGCUUUACUGCUGUGAAGAGACACUAUGAGCAAGGCAACUCUUAUAAGGACAACAUUUAAUUAGGGUAGGCUUACAGGUUCAACAGUUCAGUCUAUUAUCAUAGAGACAGGAACCAGGCAGGAAUGUUUCUGGGAAGAGAUGAGAGUUCUACAUCUUCAUAUAAAGGAAGCCAGGAGCAGACUGACUCCUACAUGGCUAGGAAGAUGGUCUCAAAGUCCACCCUCACAGAGACACUUUCUCCAACAAGGCCACACCUCCUAACAGUGCCACUCCCUGGGACAAACAUAUAUAAACCAUCACACACCUUUAUUUCAGAUCCAAAGAGUCAAAACAUUCAAAGAAUUAUAUUUCUUAGCUCAUGUUCCUUUAGCAACCUUAAAUUUAUGGGCAUUUUGUUAGUGGUCUCAUGGAGAAAGAACCUGGCAAGCUAAUCACAGGCCCAGAAUGAUAAUAAUAAGUAGAAGUUAAUUAUGUGGUCCCCAUCAUGAUUAAUUUAAGAUGUGUUAAAUUCUAUUGUGUCGGACACUAUAUAACAGAGGAUUGUUAUUUGGCAGGCAGCUUGCGCUGGUCAUAAAACACAUUCAUAGCUCUUUUCAGUUUUACCUUGAACUUCAGGUACUCUAACUUUGGGUCUUCCAUGAUGUCUAGCAUCUUCCCAAGAUUGUAGGAUCUUUCUGGGCUGGUGUUCAUCCCGAUUCCUUCUAUUCGCGGAGGGAGUAUGAAAUAUUUGCUCCAAGAAAUUGCAAAUCCCUGGGAGGUUUUCU
rnacentral:lncRNA from 1 species